rnacentral:rRNA from 1 species
CCCCGGUGAAUAACGCCCUUAUCCCCUCCUAGGAAUAAGGAGCUGGCAUCAGGCACAAUAAACUGCCCAAGACGCCUAGCUACGCCACACCCACACGGGACUUCAGCAGUGGUUAACAUUGAAUAUUAGUGACAGCUUGAUUCAGUCAGGGUAAAAAGAGCCGGCCAAUCUGGUGCCAGCCGCCGCGGCUACACCAUCUGGCUCAAAUUNNCCUCCAUCGGCGUAAAGCGUGAUUUAAGUGAUCAUAUCCAUUAUAGUCAAACCAGGANUAAGCCGUGAAAGGGNUNUCCNCAGGAAGCCCAGAAACGAAAGUUACUUUAAUUUCACCCNCUUAACUCACGACAGCUGGGGCACAAACUGGGAUUAGAUACCCCACUAUGCCC